AUUGAACGCUAGCGGGAUGCUUUACACAUGCAAGUCGAACGGCAGCGCGGACUUCGGUCUGGCGGCGAGUGGCGAACGGGUGAGUAAUGUAUCGGAACGUGCCCAGUAGCGGGGGAUAACUACGCGAAAGCGUAGCUAAUACCGCAUACGCCCUACGGGGGAAAGCAGGGGAUCGUAAGACCUUGCACUAUUGGAGCGGCCGAUAUCGGUUUAGCUAGUUGGUGAGGUAACGGCUCACCAAGGCGACGGUCCGUAGCUGGUUUGAGAGGACGACCAGCCAGACUGGGACUGAGACAGGGCCCAGACUCCUGCGGGGGGCAGCAGUGGGGAAUCUUGGACGAUGGAGGAAAGCCUGAUACAGCCAACCCGCGGGUGCCAUGAAGGCCUUCGGGUUGUAAAGCACUGUUGGCAGUAAAGAAACAUAGCGGGCUAAUACCCGGUGGAACUGACGGUACCUGCAGAAUAAGCACCGGCUAACUACGUG
rnacentral:rRNA from 1 species